UACGGAGGGUGCAAGCGUUAUCCGGAUUCACUGGGUUUAAAGGGUGCGUAGGUGGGCAGGUAAGUCAGUGGUGAAAUCUCCGGGCUUAACUCGGAAACUGCCAUUGAUACUAUCUUUCAUGAAUACCGUGGAGGUCAGCGGAAUAUGUCAUGUAGCGGUGAAAUGCUUAGAUAUGACAUAGAACACCAAUUGCGAAGGCAGCUGGCUACACGAAUAUUGACACUGAUGCACGAAAGCGUGGGGAUCAAACAGG
rnacentral:rRNA from 1 species